CCCAGACUCCUACGGGAGGCAGCAGUAGGGAAUCUUCCGCAAUGGACGAAAGUCUGACGGAGCAACGCCGCGUGAGUGAUGAAGGUUUUCGGAUCGUAAAGCUCUGUUGUUAGGGAAGAACAAGUGCCGUUCAAAUAGGGCGGCACCUUGACGGUACCUAACCAGAAAGCCACGGCUAACUACGUGCCAGCAGCCGCGGUAAUACGUAGGUGGCAAGCGUUGUCCGGAAUUAUUGGGCGUAAAGGGCUCGCAGGCGGUUUCUUAAGUCUGAUGUGAAAGCCCCCGGCUCAACCGGGGAGGGUCAUUGGAAACUGGGGAACUUGAGUGCAGAAGAGGAGAGUGGAAUUCCACGUGUAGCGGUGAAAUGCGUAGAGAUGUGGAGGAACACCAGUGGCGAAGGCGACUCUCUGGUCUGUAACUGACGCUGAGGAGCGAAAGCGUGGGGAGCGAACAGGAUUAGAUACCCUGGUAGUCCACGCCGUAAACGAUGAGUGCUAAGUGUUAGGGGGUUUCCGCCCCUUAGUGCUGCAGCUAACGCAUUAAGCACUCCGCCUGGGGAGUACGGUCGCAAGACUGAAACUCAAAGGAAUUGACGGGGGCCCGCACAAGCGGUGGAGCAUGUGGUUUAAUUCGAAGCAACGCGAAGAACCUUACCAGGUCUUGACAUCCUCUGACAAUCCUAGAGAUAGGACGUCCCCUUCG
rnacentral:rRNA from 1 species